rnacentral:rRNA from 1 species
CGGAGGGUGCAAGCGUUAUCCGGAUUCACUGGGUUUAAAGGGUGUGUGGGCGGGCUAUUAAGUCAGUGGUGAAAUCUCCGGGCUCAACCCGGAAACUGCCAUUGAUACUAUUAGUCUUGAAUAUUGUUGAGGUAGGCGGAAUAUAUCAUGUAGCGGUGAAAUGCAUAGAUAUGAUAUAGAACACCGAUUGCGAAGGCAGCUUACUAAACAAUUAUUGACGCUGAGGCACGAAAGCGUGGGGAUCAAACAGGAUUAGAUACCCUGGUAGUCCACGCCCUAAACGAUGAUUACUCGACAUACGCGAUACACAGUGUGUGUCUGAGCGAAAGCAUUAAGUAAUCCACCUGGGAAGUACGUCCGCAAGGAUG